rnacentral:tRNA from 2 species
GGAGAGGUCGCAUAGUGGCCUAGUGCGCUAGUCUUGAAAACUAGUUUUGGCGCGAGCCAAACGCGAGUUCGACUCUCGCCCUCUCCG